GCCCACCGAACUGCAGCACAGUUAAACAUUGUAUUGUAUUAUUUAGUUGCUUUCAUUCUGUUUUUCUAAAAUAGUUCAGUUUCCCUGGAUACAGAAUGUAUAAACAUGAAACCUUUCCAUCGAUGGUUCUACACGUGAAAAGGAGUAAUUUGUUUGCCACUAGGAUUGAAAUGCGGCAAGGACAGACAAGUUUAGUGACCAUUUUUUCAUAUAACUUAACAUCUUAUCUUAUUAUGUUUAAGGAAUUUGUAUUAACAAAACUGAGUAUUGAGAGCUUAUGAUACAUUUAUUGAAU